rnacentral:rRNA from 1 species
GACGUAGGGGCCGAGCGUUGUCCGGAAUUAUUGGGCGUAAAGCGCGCGCAGGCGGUCUCUUAAGUCUGAUGUGAAAGCCCACGGCUCAACCGUGGAGGGUCGUUGGAAACUGGGAGACUUGAGUGCAGAAGAGAAGAGCGGAAUUCCACGUGUAGCGGUGAAAUGCGUAGAGAUGUGGAGGAACACCAGUGGCGAAGGCGGCUCUUUGGUCUGUAACUGACGCUGAGGCGCGAAAGCGUGGGGAGCGAACAGG